rnacentral:rRNA from 1 species
GACAGAGGUGCCGAGCGUUAGGCGGAAUCACUGGGCUUAAAGCGUGUGUAGGCGGGCGGGCAAGUACCUUGUGAAAUCCCACGGCUCAACCGUGGAACUGCUGGGUAUACUGCCUGUCUUGAGCCAGCUAGGGGCGAGCGGAACAGACGGUGGAGCGGUGAAAUGCGUAGAUAUCGUCUGGAACGCCGAAGGUGAAAACAGCUCGCUGGGGCUGUGCUGACGCUGAGACACGAAAGCCAGGGGAGCGAACGGG